ACAGUUACAUUGCAGAAGAAGAAGAAGAAGAGAAACCAUCAAAGAAAGAAGAUGAAGAUGAAGGAGGAGGAGGAGGAGGAUCUCUCAAUAUCUACUGCUGAGGCUCAUGGUCAUUCAGUUAUUAUUCCUAAUUAUCCUGAUGCUGAUAGACUGGCCUUGGCGGAAAAGCAACUGGGGAAUACUAAUGAGGGAGGGAGGGGCAACUGGUGAUUGUUUACUGGCAAUGAGAUUGGGAGCAUGUUGGGCUGGUAGGCCAUGGAAAACUUUAAGAAAAAGAACAAAAAUUUUGACGGUUCUGAAGUCCAUUUAAUAUGCAGUACAGUUUCAUCAAAAGUAUUACGAUCAAUAGCUAAAGUUGAAGGGAUCCAGUUUUCAGAAACUCUCACUGGGUUCAGUGGAUGGGUAACUUAAGCCACAGCUUCCUUGAGAAAGUGGGAGAGGAGGCUUUUUUGCUUUUGAAGAAGCAAUAGGAUUCAUGUUCGGUACUACAGUACUGGAUAAAGAUGGAGUGAGUGGAGCUACUGUGACUGGAGAAAUGGCUGCCUACCUUUAAUGGACAGAGAUUCUCUUCACUAUUGGGAGACAUUUAUUUAAAUAUGGUCAAGUUAAUUGUCUUAAGCAAUUCUUAUUUUAUAUGUCACUCAAAAUAAACGAUAAAAGAACUCUUUGAUGGACUGAGAAAAGAUGGACCAGUAAUUAUAAUGAGCUAGUGUACAGUAUUUUGAAUAAAAUGUCCCUCCUCUAUCUCCUACAGUGUCCCAGUACUUGUGGUCCAGCUGGUGUUACUAGUGUAUGUGAUAUUACUGUUGGGUAUGACAGUACCAGACCUCCUCACUAUA